rnacentral:misc_RNA from 1 species
GAAAUGCGAUAAGUAGUGUGAAUUGCAGAAUUCAGUGAAUCAUCGAAUCUUUGAACGCACAUUGCGCCCCUUGGUAUUCCAUGGGGCAUGCCUGUUCGAGCGUCAUUUGUACCCUCAAGCUCUGCUUGGUGUUGGGUGUUUGUCCCCGUCUCCGCGCGUGGACUCGCCCCAAAGUGAUUGGCAGCCGGCGUACUGGUCCCGGAGCGCAGCACAUGUUGCGCAAACGAGUGCCUUGGUACGGCGGCGUCCAUAAGCCCCUCUCUCACGCUCUUGACCUCGGAUCAGGUAGGGAUACCCGCUGAACUUAAGC